AGAGAUCGAAUUAUAUACAUUAAGGUAAAAAGGCAGUUAAGUGAUUAUAUAAUUAGUUUAUUUAUUAUUUAUAUGAAAGUAAAAUUUGAAUAUAUAUUAAUAAUUCAAAAUAUACUAAUCAAAUUGACUCUGCGACAGCCUUGAGGGAAACUGGGAUUAGAUACCCCAUUAUUCUUGGUCUUAAAUUGAUUAAGAUUUACCAGAGUACUACGAAUUUAUAAAAUUUAAAACUCCAAGGGCUUGGCGGUGUUUUAGACCUUUCAGGGGAACUUGUCUCGUAACCGACAAUCCACGUUAUACCUAACCUUUCUUAGCAAUCAGUUUGUAUAUCGUCGUCGUCAGGUAACUUUUUAGAAUUUAGAAGUUAGCAAUCAAAAUUUAAAUUAAAUUUAAACGUCAGAUCAAGAUGCAGCUUAUAGGAAGGUGAUGAUGAGUUACAAUUAGAGAUUUAUAAAUACGGAUAAGUUAGUGAAAACUGACUUUAAAGGCGGACUUGAAAGUAAGAUGAAAUACAUAAAUGUUUUGAAUAAGGCUCUGAAACAUGC
rnacentral:rRNA from 1 species